rnacentral:rRNA from 1 species
GACGAACGCUGGCGGCGUGCCUAAUACAUGCAAGUCGAACGCAGUGGGGACGGGGGAGUAACACGUGGGUAACCUCCCAUCAGAGGGGAGAACACUUGGAAACAGGUGCAAAACCGAAACUGAUGGAUCAACCCGCGGGGCAUUAGGUAGUUGGUGUGGUAACGGCUCACCAAGGCCACGAUGCCUAGCCGACCUGAGAGGGUGAUCGGCCACACUGGAACUGAGACACGGCCCAGACUCCUACGGGAGGCAGCAGUAGGGAAUCUUCGGCAAUGGACGAAAGUCUGACCGAGCAACGCCGCGUGAGUGAAGAAGGUUUUCGGAUCGUAAAACUCUGUUGUUAGAGAAGCGGUAUCUAACCAGAAAGCCACGGCUAACUACGUGCCAGCAGCCGCGGUAAUAC